rnacentral:rRNA from 1 species
AUGUCGAAACUGGUCUGCAGGAAUACUAGAGCUCUCACAGGCGCAACCGUGACACGGGCUCAUCUUCGGGUUCGCCCGCACAGAAGCGUAAGAUAUGGAUCCCGAACAUCACGUACCGUCCAAAUGCAUCUGCCCCAAGGCAGACCUAUGCUGCACCUCGUCUGCCUCCACCACCAUCUAGGCAGACAAGACUUCCAGCUCCACCAUCCCAAGCUCCGGUUCCCACUCCCAAUAAUGGUCUGUGCUACAAGUGUGGACAACCCGGUCACCGUGCCAGGGACUACCAUCAGAAUCAGAAUCAACUUGCCCUUCCAGCAACGGGCCGUGGUAACAACCAGCCCCGCAGCAACAAUGCUAAGCCUUAUGGUCGUGCUCAUGCCAACCACGUUGAUCUCAACGAAGCUCAAGACCAGCCUGCUACUGUGA